CGGGGCGGGGCCGAGGAGCGCGAGAAGUGCCGAGGACCACACUCACCGGAGAGGCCCUGCGCUCCCGACAUCCGCUUCCGGAUGGGCCUGAUGAACCAUGUGAGCUUGCUUCUGCUGACUCCAAAAAUCCUGAGUCUGCCAUUUGACCCUCAAGAUAAUGUCUUCCUGUCCUGGGCUCACUCCUACACCACAUUCCAUAAUCGGUCUAAUUGCUAAGUCUGCAGAACACUCCCCUCUUCAUCAGUGGAAGGCUUCCUCUGGUUGGCAUCUCCACAUCAGGGAAAGGACUUUCUCCAAGUCUUCAAAUACCUUCGACAACAAUCGUAUGUGAUGACUCUUCUUAAUCUGAUGACAUCUAACAAUCCUAAAACGGACUGGUGCAACACAUUGUACCUUAACUAUGGACAUAAUGUGACUUUUAACUUUG